CUAACCUGUGCGGACUCACAAGACGUCCUACCACCAGUAAUUACGCAAAUUAAAGUUUUUGCGGGCUUGAUUUUUAUUACACAAUGUUAUUCCUUCACCGUGGAAAUCAAUCGUGAACAUUUGGUAAGUUCAUUAGAAAAAUUGGUACCUGCUUGCGGGAUUCGAACACCGGUGAAUCGCAAGAUACAAAUGCAUCGAACGUCUUAUCCUUUAGGCCACGACGACUUCAUAUUAUUAUAUUAUUUUUAUUUAAAUGUAAAUUGCACUUUUGGAAUGGACCAGGACACAGUACAUAUUAUGGCGUUAUGUUAUAAGAGCUGAUAGACUUCCCAUGUACUUUGAGAUGCCAGUUCGAAGAUUUAAUUGUACUAGAGGUCCCGCAGUAGUGGAAAUUCGACUAUAAUUAAUUGGAAUUUUGUCUCGCCCUUCAAACGCAUGGCUGCUUCACCUCAGAAAAUAGGAAGGUUGUGGUACAGGAUCUAUUCGUGAGAACUCAUAACAAGACCUUAUUACCAGUGGUGCUACCACUACAAGCUUAAAUGUAGAUUAGAUUUCAACCACGUUUCUCAAUAGAUGUCUAACAAAGGGCUUUUCGGAUACGCAUGGAACUUUACUGAUUACGAAUGUUGAUCCACAAGCGAAUAAAGAGUUCGUAAUUAGAAUGUACGUAAUUAAGUUUAGUAUAAUUGAUAUUUAUUAAAGGAGAUAGAAUGUG